UCAUGAUAUAAACUCUCAUUCCUCUCUAACACCGAUAAUCAUCCUCCCCUUUCAGGAUCAUGGCGAGAACCAAAGGAGCUGCAAACAAAGCUACUAUAAACUUUCAAUCCAAUCCAUCAUAUCCAUCCUUUAAACCUCAACCUCUCACUAUUGUUCCUCACCUCAAACCAUUACCACUCAUCAACCUCAAAACAAUGGCCCACCAACAUCCUCAACUCCUUCUCACAUUAAAAAGCCAAAAAGAAAAAGCCCACCAACAUGCUUUUGAGAUAAUUUGUAUGGAAGAUUCUACUUCUUUUUUAUUGAUGAUUAAUCCCUUUUUUGUUUUGAGUAUGUUUGAAUCAUUGUUAAUUAUUAUGAAUGAACAUUACAAUGGUUCAUAAAUGAUUAUGUUUCAAAAUCAUAUUUGUCAAAAUGGAUGCAUAAACUAAGUGGGAGUAUUUCCUGAAAUCCUCAAUUAUAUUCAUUAAUUAUUUUACAUUAAAUCUGAAUGAAUAUUGGAUCUUAAUUUAAAAAUAAUUUAUCAUAAAAAAACUAUAGAUUGUGAGGCAAAAUCCCUUAGUAAAUAUGUUUCAAUGAUAAUAAAAUUUAAUUAGAUAAAUAUCUAAUUAAUUCUGAUUUUAUUAAGUGAUCUAAUAUAUGUUCUUGAGUGUAUUACUCAUAAGAUAAAUUUUUGUGAAGCUUUAAAAAGUUUUUGAAACAUACUAAUAUGUGAGCACAUUCAUCAUCCUUAAAACUAGAAGUGUUCAUCAUUAAUUUCGUUAAUUGAAGAACCAGAGAUAUUCAUUGAUGAUAACCAAGACAUAAAUGACAAUUGGAAUAUUGCUUUUAUUUAUCAAACAUAAAUGAUGUGGGCCAUAUACAAAAGAACAUUAUCAUAAGACACAAAGAACGAAACGAAUAUUUUGAAAGGGACAAUUAAUAUUGUUCACGUGUGCAAAGAUAUAUCCACACUUUAUUAAAAUUUAAAUAUGUUUUCAGAUAUACUCAUUCAUAUUCAUCAGAGUUGAGGACAUGAGGAUGUUGAGAAGACAACCUUCUACACUAUACGUACAAAGGACAACUCAUUACAAGCUCACACAUCCUAUUUAGCAGCUCAUGACAGGUUGUCUCAAGAUGUCAAAAAGAUAAUCAAUCUCCUCUAUCAUGUUCAUAAUAAACGUGGAUGUCUUUAUAAUGACGAGGACAUCUUCAUAUAAAGUACAUGGUGAUCAUAAACAUCCUUAAAGAAUAGGAUGAUUACUAAAAGAGAAGAUAAUGUUUACCCAUAUUUCAGAGUUUCAGCACCAUACUCUAACACCUUGGGACAUGUGCCCAACGGUUAUAUGUGACAUUUACAUCAACAAAAAAUUUUCCCAAUUCUAUAAAUAGAAGCUGCUUCAAGCUGCAAUCUCCAAUAGAAUACAAUCGAACAUAUUUUACUUUCUUGUUUGCAAAGCUAUCAAAACCAUCUUUAAUUAUCAAGAAACAUACAAUUUCUCUUUGUCAU
rnacentral:lncRNA from 1 species